CUUGGUGUUGGUAGCAAGGAAACCAUGAGCUCUGAGGAGCACAAGCUGGGAGAGACCAGAAGUUCUUAUCCUUUCUUGGGGUCUGUGCUCCCUCUGAGAAUCGGAGAAAAGCGCCCCAGAAAAAAACAACCAGAAAGAUUUAUUUAAGGAUCAGAGGAAGUAAUCACAGGAGACUCUCCUGCCUGCCUCACAAAACACAACUAGAAAUAGACAGGUCUCUGGGAGACUACAUGACAAUGUGGCAAGCCAGUGCUUUUGCGGUAUGAGAGCGGCAUUCUGUGGGUGUGUGAUAAGAGAGCAUAAAUGAUCUGCAUUUGGACAAACCCAGGAAGGUGCAUUUGCUCUUCAGAAGGUGCAGAUCUGGGAAAACUGCAAAAGGAGGUAGCAGUUGAAGCCAAAUGGACAGAAAGCCCGAGACAACAUGAAGUUGUUCUACAAGUUAUUUUGGAGAAAUUGACUUACCAUACCACUCAUCAACCCAUGCAAAAGCCUGUCUAUGUCCAAUCAGCAGAAUGUCUCGGACCACCUAAAAAGUAAAAGAAGGAGACUGAAAUAAUAGCAUCUUUGAUGAAAACUAUCUGGAAGACAAGUUGUUAACAAUUCUGGGGAUCUUGGUGAUUACAGAGUUCUUAAUCCCUCUGUCCAUAGGUGAUGACAAUUACAGGCUGCCUAUAGGUCCUAUAGUGCUCACACACCUCCAGCCCUUCCCCAUGGUGUACACACACUUGCAGUAUAUUCAUCUCUUUGUCUUAUUUGAGAGUAGGGCUGGGUGUGUGUACAAACUAAUGACAAAUACUUGACAGUCACACAGCAGUGAUACAAAUAAAUAUCUAGGUUAAUUACCUUGAAGUUUUUCUCUCCAUUUAUUUUUAACUAAAACAGCAUCUACUUUUCAUCUGUGGGAGGGUGUGUCUCACUGGUGCCAGGAGGUCAUAAAUUUUGGAAAUCUAGAACACUUUUC
rnacentral:lncRNA from 10 species